ACAGAGAGAAAGAGAGAGGGGUAGAGAGUUAGAAACAUCGAUGAGAGAGAAACAUCGAUCAGCUGCCUCCUGCACACUCCCUACCGGGGAUGUGCCCGCAACCAAGGUACAUGCCCUUGACCGGAAUCAAACCCGGGACCCUUGAGUCCGCAGGCUGACGCUCUAUCCACUGAGCCAAACCGGCUAGGGCAUGGGCAUUCUUGAAAAGGAGAAGAUGGAGGAUGCUGGGUUGAAAGAAGAGGAGUUGCCCAAAUAUAGCAGUGGGCCCAGGGACUUGGGGAAAAAGAUGUAGUGAUGGGUAGUGAUGGGUUCACUAGGAGGCAUCAGGACUUCUAAUGGGGAGAGCUGAUGUAAUAGUUAGGGUACUUUUAUUGUAUAGGAUUGGAUGUCUUUGAACUCUAGUAAAUGAGAGUUUUGAGCCAGAUUUAAUUUUAGAGAAAUUAAGUAAUUUGAUGUUUCUUCUCAGUGUUAUGGAACAAAUUUAUACACUUAUCAUCCCAUUUAAUCUCCACAACUCCUUGAAGUGAGUGUUGUUCUCCCCUUUCAUGUAAGGGGAAAUUGAGUUUGGAAGGCAGAGCUAAGGAUUGAGAAACCCCCUUGUACUGUGAGGAAUCAUUUGGGGUUUUUUGGGGUUUAUUUGUGUGUGUGUGUGUGUGUGUGUGUGUGUGUUUAAUAUAUAUAUAUUUAUUGAUUUCAGUGAGGAAGGGAGAGGGAGAAAGAUUGAAACAUCAAUGAUGAGAGAGAAUCAUUGAUCAGUUGCCUCCUGCGCAUCCCCUACUGGGAAUCCAGCCUACAACUCGGGCAUGUGCCUUUGACCGGAAUUCAACCCAGGAUGCUUCAGUCCGCAGGUCGACACUCCAUCCACUGAGCCAAACCAACUAGGGCUGUGAGGAAUUAUUUGGAUAUAAAUGACAGAAAGUAAAAUCCAACAGGUGUGAACAAAAUAGGAAUGUAUGACAUAACUGAAAAGUCCAGGGGUAAGGCGGGCUUCAGGUAGUAGGAUUGAUGCAGGGACUCAAUUCAAUGUCAGCAGCACUCACUUUCCACUUCUUGGCUCUCUGUCUUCUAUGCUGACUGCUCUCAGGUUUUGUGUGGUAGCAGUACCAUUGAUGCUAAAAAUGUGAUGUCACUCUGACAACAUCGUGACUUACGGGUUUCAAUUGGUAUGUGUCCAUCCUUGAACUGCUCAUUACGCUGCUCACAGGGGAAUGGACUGCUUCUUCUGACAGGUCUGAGCCACACAUACACCCCUGGAAUAAGGGUGUGGAGGGAAGACCACUCCACCUGCACAUGGACUGAGACUGAAGGAGUGGAGUGUGGUAGUUCCUUCCGAGGACAUAGACAUACUGUUUCCAGAAAGGUGUAUGCAUGCUGGUAUAAAACAAAGAAAACAAAACAGAUAUCCACUACAGCCCUCCCUAACUUCCCCAUUUUGGUUUCUGGCCCAGAGCUAUCUCAUUAUUCUUUUAUGAUUUAAGGCAUAACUUGAAGUAUGAAUACAGGUCCUCUGAAGGUUGGGGAAGAGUCUGGAUGGGGCCCAGAGCAGGGAUCUUGAAGAGGGGAUCUAUGGGAAACCCAAACAUCUGUGUGGAUAGACCAUUCAAUGACCUAAACUCUCAAUUCCUAGACCUUUUCAUCUCAGAGUCCUUUACUUCUGCUCCAAUCCAGCUGUGGUCAUACCUGAAGCCUCAUCAUCAGGAACUGCUUUGCCUUCCAGUCUGACAUUUCAUCCUCUGACUUCAACCUUCAGAUUUGUCCUAAAGAUGACAAUUCUUCAAACUUGUCAGGACAUCCAUUCCACUGAUCUUCCACUUUCUCCCAGUCUGUCAGCAACCUCUUGCCUGCGUUUCCUCCCUCUCCACAAUGACUUCAUGGUCAACCUCCCAAGCACUUCUCAAUUCAUUCUCCUUCCAUCAUUUCUACCUGGCAGCAUCCCAACUCUCUGCCUCUGCCAGACCUGCCCUGUAGGAAGUGGCUCAGCGCUAAUGGAUAAAAUCGCACAUGAGGCUAUUUUAGAGUCACUUGCUGAAAUGCGACUAUUACAGAGCACUGAAGACAAACCAGAGCAACUGCACAGUCUUCAGCAACUCUCACAUCCCUAAACCUGGGGGGACCAUUUACAACAUAAUGAAGCCAUCUCUUCUAGGGUCUUCCCUCUCUGCUCAGGCUCCUCUCUACCAAGAUCCAAGGAAAGCGACAAGCACCCUGCAGUCAGCACAGCACGCAGGCCCUGAGGACCAGAGCUGUCUCAGCAGGACAGGUGGCUCAGAGACCAGGACACACAUCGCUGGAAAAUUAUGGGAUUUGAGGAUCAGCUACGAUGUCCAUGCCUCCCAGGGAGCCUGUGUUCCCAGCCAGACCCCACCAGCAUGGACCGAAGAUCCCAGGUACCUCCAGCUCUCCUCCCCACUGCCUCAGGCUUUCUGUGGGGAUAUGUCUUUUCUAGUCAUCCAGAAAGUCCUCUUCUGUCUCCUCCUAAGAGGGAAAUUUCUCUUGAAGAAAAAUUUAGUUCAUGUAGAGAAAAUCUUUUCAUUCUUGUGAUAGCACAUCCUUCAGAGAGGAUAGUCUCUGUUUCUCAUAAAAAAGGAUAUUUAUUAUUUCCAAAUAGAUUUGUUUCUUCUUAUAGUGAGUGGUAUCUUCUGUCUUUGUUGUGUGGAGUAUGUUUUAGAAAUCCCGGGAGUCUGGGCUUAGAGGAAGGAAGGAAUCGGCUUCACCUUAUACUGAAGUCCUGUGUGGCUUCUCAAAGGGGACCAGGGCCCCGGAGGGAGGUUGAUAGUGGCACUGCACACCCAC